GAAUCCUGCUGCUGUCAUCCAGAGAAAAAGCUGGCUCGUAAAAACAUCAUGGGGUGUUUUCAUCCACGUUACUCACUGGAUCUGGCACCAUGGAACUUCUGGCUCUUCCCCAAAGUCGAAAUGGCCAAGAAAGGCAAGUACAGAAAAUACAUAAAUAUAACACAAGAUGUAGAUUGCUUGAAGAAACCAGCACAGAGAAACAAAAAUCAACAUUAAGAACUCUGUAACCUCAAAGAACU
rnacentral:lncRNA from 1 species